CUCCCUCCAUCCUUCCCUCUCUCCCUCCCUGCAUCCGUCCCGCUCCGCCCUGCACCUCAUGAGCAAGUGCUUCUCUGCUUGUCUCCGGUGACAUCCCAGAUUUCCCUAUGGGGAUUUUUGUACCCGGCUGAACCGCGGCCAAGUGGCAGCUGCUUGGCUAAAUAAGGUCUCCCAGGGAUAGCAUUCUUUAAUCUCCAAAGAUGACAGCUGUUGCAGUGCUAGAGGAGGUGCUGGUUUCCAUUGAGAAUGAGCUGCAAGCAGUGGAGAUGCAGAUACAGGAGCUUGUGGAUAAACAGCAGGAACUGAUUCAAAAGAAGAUGAGAGUGAAGAAUCUGAUAAAACAGUCCUCGGGAGACUUGGAGGCAGGUGGAAGUAAAGGCACUGAAACCUCAGCCGAGGCAUGGAACAAAAAAGAUUUUCCAUGGUAUGAGAAGAUAAAAACUGCACUGCAGGGCAAAUUUAAACUCCAGAAGUUUAGGUCACUGCAACUUGAAACAGUAAAUGCUGCAAUGGCAGGAAAGGACAUAUUUCUUGUCAUGCCUACAGGUGGUGGCAAGAGCCUUUGCUACCAGUUACCAGCUGUCUGUUCUGAUGGUUUCACACUCGUGAUAUGUCCUUUGAUAUCUCUUAUGGAAGAUCAGCUCAUGGUUUUGGAACAGCUUGGGAUUUCUGCAGCUUUAUUAAAUGCCUCAAGCAGCAAGGAACAUGUCAAGUGGGUCCAUAGCGAAAUGCUAAACAGGAAUUCACAACUGAAGCUCAUUUAUGUGACCCCAGAGAAGAUUGCAAAGAGCAAGAUGUUCAUGUCCAAGCUGGAGAAGGCUUACCAGGCCGGGUGCCUGGCUCGUGUUGCUGUGGAUGAGGUCCACUGCUGUAGCCAGUGGGGCCAUGACUUCAGGCCUGACUACAAGUCUCUUGGUAUCUUGAAAAGACAGUUUCCCAACACUCCCUUGAUUGGACUGACAGCAACAGCUACAAAUCAUGUUUUAAAGGAUGCUCAGAAAAUUUUGCAUGUUGAGAAGUGCAUUACCUUUACUGCCUCUUUCAACCGGCCCAACCUGUACUAUGAGGUUCGACAUAAGCCUUCAAAUAAUGAAGAUUUCAUUGAGGACAUAGUUAGGACCAUUAAUGGAAGAUACAAAGGACUGUCAGGAAUUGUUUACUGUUUUUCUCAGAAGGAUUCUGAGCAAGUUACUGUGAGUCUGCAGAAACUGGGAAUCAAGGCAGGGACUUACCAUGCAAACAUGGAUGCUAAAUAUAAAACCAAAGUUCAUAAAGGAUGGGCAGCAAAUCAAAUCCAGGUUGUAGUGGCAACUGUUGCUUUUGGCAUGGGAAUUGAUAAACCUGAUGUGAGGUUUGUAAUUCAUCAUUCUAUGAGCAAAUCCAUGGAGAACUAUUACCAAGAGAGUGGACGUGCAGGUAGAGAUGACCAAAAAGCCGACUGCAUUUUGUAUUAUGGCUUUGGAGAUAUAUUCAGGAUCAGCUCAAUGGUAGUGAUGGAAAAUGUGGGGCAAGAGAAGCUCUAUGAUAUGGUAUCUUACUGCCAAAAUAUGAACAAGUGUCGCCGGGUGCUCAUAGCCCAUCACUUUGAUGAGGUGUGGGAUUCUGCAAACUGCAACAGAAUGUGUGAUAACUGCUGCAGAGAGAACGCAUGUGAGAAGAUGGAUGUAACAGGAUACUGCAGGGAUCUAAUCAAGAUACUUGAGCAAGCUGAAAGCAUGAGUGAGAAACUCACCCCACUGAAACUAAUCGAUGCGUGGUCCGGGAAAGGUGUGUCCAAGUUCAGGGUGGCUGAAAUUACUCCACCAAAGCACCCUCGAGAGGAACUGGAGAGAAUUAUUGCCCAUCUACUGCUGCAGCAGUAUCUGAAGGAAGACUUCAGCUUCACGGCAUUCGCUACAAUUUCGUACCUGAAGGUGGGACCCAAAGCCCGUCUGCUGAAAAACGAGGACCACGUCAUCACUAUAGAGGGGAUGACAAACAGGAAAAGUGUUGACAAGGCCAAAUCAUCUCAACCUUCGAAUUCGAAAGGAAGCAGCAAAAAUGCUCAGACUGUUUCAAAGGCUGUCCAGGAUUCAGUGGGGAAGAAGUUACAGGAGCAUAAGCGGCCUGGCUGUGGGUCUGACUUAAAAGCAAAGAAGCCUAAGCUUGAGGCAGGUGGAGUUGACCAACCAGUGGUUAUUGACUGAGUUUCACAGACUACAUUUAGGAUCUAAUCACAUUUACUUCUCCAUGGACAAUGCACUCAUAUUCCAGGUGGUUGGAGCUCUGAGCUCCCCAUAUCCUAGAACUGUUCAUUGACCCAACUGGACAGAGCUGUGGCAGGCACCCACAGGUGGAAGCAGUGGAGUGGUGCCAGUGGGAUGGCAACAGGCUGCCUGACUGCUUGGAAACAAUCACCUGAGCACGUGGUUUGAGGUAGCAGAGGCUUUCCUGACCCUGGCCAGGACUCACCCCACCCAAGGCUGGAGGAGCUUUCAGCAGGUAAGGCCACAUCUUCCCAUCAAGGCAUCCUGGCUCCCGUGGGGGCUCACAGGCUGAGCUGCAGGACAUGCUCAGGAAUGAGCCAUGGGGAAACUGGGCUCUGGUAACCACAGCAGGUGGAAUGGCUGGUUUGGGGAAGGGAGGGUUUUAACAUGUUUUUCUUGCUUUUAAAAAGGCUCCCUCAUGUUCCAGUGAAU